AGGAGUUUGCGAGAGCGGCGGGGCUGGACCAGCGGCCUGCUUCUUGCGCUGGUGCCAGACGGUGGUGUCACGGAGCGGGGCCAGUUCCCCCCGGAGGAGCAGGGCCUGUGCUCCCGGCGGCUGCGAGGAAGGCGAGCGAGGCGAUCACGGAAGCUCUGAAGAGCUGCGGGCUGCUCCGCAAAGCAGCCAGAGCGAAGUUAGAGGGUUCCCGGGAAGGAGCGGGAGCUCCGAGCGAUGAGAGACCUGCUGCGCGCCGGCCCACACCGGGUCAGCCCCCGGGGGCACAGGAACCGCGGGCUCCUGGCACCUAGGAAGCAGGACUCGCUUCUGUCGCUGCAUCGUGCCUCGGCUUCCAGAGUGGGCCCGGAGCGAGCCGCGAGCAGUGCACGGAAAGCGGCGGUCGCAGGAAACGAGGGUUUGGACAUAACCUGUGAUGUCUGUCUCUGGUGCAAAGUGCUGGGAAACGGGGGAGGAAUGGAGGUAACUGGUCAAAGUAGCCUUUGCGCCUAAAUGGAAGGCCUCUAUUGAAAAGGAAUGGAUUGGACUUUCUCUAAGGAAGAGACUUGGCAGGAUCCUCCCAGUGGGACAUUUGCUUUGACUUGUUUUUUCAGCAGUGGACAUUUCUCAUUUUAGUCUAACCGCAUGUCCCUCCUAGCUCUCUGGGGACAAUAGAGACAUUUACAAAAUGGCUUGUCUGCAGUAGAGGUGCUGUCAGGCCAGUCCCUAAGGUUGGUAGGCUAAGCAAGAGUACGAUGGAGACCCACUUACCAUUUGUCUAAAUAGUUCAGUUAUUAAUCAAGUGAGCAAACAACUAUGUUAUAUCCUUCUACCUUGACAAAUAGAAAGAUAAGGAAACCUAUAAUUUUUAUGUGACAAAAAUCAAAAUAAAAGACAUCUGACUGUUA